rnacentral:rRNA from 1 species
CUUUUUGAUUUUAAUUUAAAGUUUAACCUGCCCAUUGAAAAUUUUUAAAAGGCUGCGGUAUUUUGACUGUACAAAGGUAGCAUAAUCAUUAGUUUUUUAAUUGAAAACUUGUAUGAAUGGUUGAAUGAGAAAUUAACUUUUUUAAAAAAAUAAUUGAAUUUUACUUUUUAAUUAAAAGGUUAAAAUAAAUUUAAAAGACGAGAAGACCCUAUAGAGUCUUAUAAUUUUUAUUUAAUAUUUAAAAAGAUUAAUUAAAAUUUUAUAAAAGAAAAUAUUUUGUUGGGGUGGUAAUAAAAUUUAAAUAACUUUUAUUUUUUUUUACAUUAAUAUAUGAAUUUAUGAUCCAUUAUUGAUGAUUAGAAAUUUAAAUUACCUUAGGGAUAACAGCGUAAUUUUUUUUUAAAGUUCAUAUUAAUAAAAAAUUUUGCGACCUCCAUGUUGGAUUAAGAUUUAAUUUUAGGUGCAGCAGUUUAAAUUUUAAGUCUGUUCGACUUUUAAUUUCUU